GGCUCAGGAUGAACGCUGGCGGCGUGCCUAAUACAUGCAAGUCGAGCGAACGGACGAGAAGCUUGCUUCUCUGAUGUUAGCGGCGGACGGGUGAGUAACACGUGGAUAACCUACCUAUAAGACUGGGAUAACUUCGGGAAACCGGAGCUAAUACCGGAUAAUAUUUUGAACCGCAUGGUUCAAAAGUGAAAGACGGUCUUGCUGUCACUUAUAGAUGGAUCCGCGCUGCAUUAGCUAGUUGGUAAGGUAACGGCUUACCAAGGCAACGAUGCAUAGCCGACCUGAGAGGGUGAUCGGCCACACUGGAACUGAGACACGGUCCAGACUCCUACGGGAGGCAGCAGUAGGGAAUCUUCCGCAAUGGGCGAAAGCCUGACGGAGCAACGCCGCGUGAGUGAUGAAGGUCUUCGGAUCGUAAAACUCUGUUAUUAGGGAAGAACAUAUGUGUAAGUAACUGUGCACAUCUUGACGGUACCUAAUCAGAAAGCCACGGCUAACUACGUGCCAGCAGCCGCGGUAAUACGUAGGUGGCAAGCGUUAUCCGGAAUUAUUGGGCGUAAAGCGCGCGUAGGCGGUUUUUUAAGUCUGAUGUGAAAGCCCACGGCUCAACCGUGGAGGGUCAUUGGAAACUGGAAAACUUGAGUGCAGAAGAGGAAAGUGGAAUUCCAUGUGUAGCGGUGAAAUGCGCAGAGAUAUGGAGGAACACCAGUGGCGAAGGCGACUUUCUGGUCUGUAACUGACGCUGAUGUGCGAAAGCGUGGGGAUCAAACA
rnacentral:rRNA from 1 species